rnacentral:lncRNA from 1 species
UCCACUUCCCUGAAAGAUGCUUUUCCACCCAUCCACCCUCAGCAGCCAGAGGGACCCCGGGAAGAUGGGAGUGAGAGCUGCCUUCGUCUGCAAAAGUCUCCAGACACCACCUCACUGGUGAAGGCCAGAGACCCUAAACUGUCCCAAGACCACCUGACUGGGCUGCCUCCCUGCCACCUGGCUGCCAGCCUCUCUCAGAGCGCCUGCAAGCUAUUCCUCCAACCCAGAGUUUCCUUCCCAGCUAAGGGCCUUUGCACCUGCUGUUCCUUCUGCCUGGAAGUUCACCGCAGACUAUCCCAGGGCCUCCAUCCUUCCCAUUGCAUGGUCCCCAUCAGCUGCCGCCGCCUCUGAGAGCUCAGUCUCCACUGGCCAUCCUGUCUCUCAGCCCACUGCACUCUCCACUCUGCCAGAAAGUCCCCCAAUCAGUGACAACACAGGUCAUGGUCCACACCUCACCUGGUUUGUCCCCAGUGCCCAGCAUCUGGCACCGAGCAGAUUAGGAAGCAGAAGCUAAGCGAAAGCAGAAUCAAGAUUCAAACCCAGGCACGGUGAAACCAGAGCUGUCCAACUGCUAGGAGAAAACAGGGCCUCAGAGAUGAUGGCUGAGCCAUGAAAAGGUGGGGUCAGAAGCCAGGCCCAGUCUCCUGAAUUCCAGACUCCAGAAUCUCCCCCAGGAUUGAGGUGUCCGGCACACUUCUCAGGAGGUCCUGAAACCAG